rnacentral:lncRNA from 1 species
GCUCCUCCCUGCAGGUCUCUGUCAUUCAGAAAACAUCAAAGUGGGGUGAGUAUACUGUCAUGGAUAGAUACAAGUUAUACUCAUGCGUUUGUAAGUAAAACCUUCCAGAACCUACAAAGCCUUUGUGGUCUCCUCUCUAGCAAUAUGCUGGCAGCUUCCCUUCACUCAUUUUCUAUCUUGAACCUGAAGGGAAGCUUGAUUUCCCCAUCGUUUAGCCAGGAAUAUCUACGCCACUAAACAAUAUAUCGUUUAGAGUUACAUGGUUGUGAAAUUUGUUCUCAAAAUAGUUAUUGCAUUUAUUGAUUUUUGCAUGUAUAUAUGUGCAUGGGCAAGAUUGUGCUAUAGCAUGUGUGUGGGGCCAAGGACAACAUGCACUAGCAGGUUCUGUCAUGCUACCACAUCCAUCCCUGGGAUCAAACUCUAGCUGUCAAUCCUGGCACACUCUGGACUCACUGAGUUAUAUUAUCAACUCCCAGUUUGAAAUUCUAUGCAUUUACUUCACUUUUGUGUUUAGAUUUCAUGUGUAUAUAACAUGCUUGUUUGUUAUAGAGUUUUACCUGUGUGGCUGCUCUGGUAACUGACUGCAUCCUCCAUUCUAUUGUAUAAGGAAAGCACAAUUUAUUUCGUAGUUCUCUAGUUGACAGUCAUUUGAAUUGUGUUCACCUUUGGUCACGAAAAUGGUGUUUUCAAUAAAUCCUAGGCACACAUUUC